AAUACUAGAGAUAGAGACAGAGAUUGCUCUGCAUUUUCUUUUAGCAGCAAAUCACCUGGUGAUUGAAUUUGCCACCAUUGAUACUUUGCCGAUUUGGUGCUGUUUCUUCUUCAGAGAAGGUUGCUCAACUUUCCAUCGGGCGGAUCUACAGUUUUGGAAGAGAUCCGCUUCCAGGCUGAAACAUGUACAGAGCCCUCCACACAGGAGCCUGAAAUCUACUCCACUUCUCUUGUACAGUACGAGGAAGGACAUGGUGGUGAAGAAGAGAGCGGCAGUGAUUGCGGCCCUGUCCAUGCUCCUACUCCUCAUGCUGUCCAGGCCAUCCCAUCAACAGUUCUCCAAUUACUCCUGCAACUGCUACCGAGAGUGCUACUUAGGGUGCAAGCACGCCUUCCCGAUGCUCUGCAAGGUCGUGUGUGGCGGCAGCUGUGAUGACAAGAAUGACCCCGUAGCCGCCUGCAUGGUCGCCUGCACCAAGGACUCCCUAUGCGGCGUGCCGGCGGCGCCAUCCGGCGCCGCAUAUUGUAGCCAUGCGUGCAACGAUACGUGGGGUCGCCAUGGACGGGCCAAGGUUCCUUGAAGAUUGAAGAUCCGGCCGAUCAUGGGAUCAUAUGAUGUCGAACUGCUGCACCAAUGCAAUAAAAUGUAUUUGGCUUCGGUGCACUACUUGUGAUUGUGAGGAAGUUUGUGAAUCUUAUAAUAAAGCUAGUUAUCAAUGCAUUUGGUAAAUCCCUGCUAA